ensembl:lincRNA
GGUGUACAGCAUGGUGAUUUGACAACUCUGCCUUAUGCUGUGCUUACACAAGGGAAGCUGCCCUCUGUCACCGUACAGCACCAUUACAGUAUUGAUUUUAUUCCCUAUGCUGGACUGUUCAUCUUUGUGACUUACAUAUUUCAUACCUGGAAUCCAAGUAUCCCCCCUGCUCCGUUUUACCCAUUUUGCCCAUCCUCUUGGCAGUCACUGGUUUGCUCUCUGUGUCCAUUGGGUAUAUCACUGUCUUUGUUUAUUUUUCUUUUAGAUCAUAUGGUAUUUAUUUGUCUCUGACUUGUUUCACUUAGCGUAAUAUUUUCUGAGAUGAGCAUUUUUAUUACUCUUAUUUUACAGAGAAAGACACUAAGGCAGUUAGAGGCUAGGUAAAUUACUCAGGUCUUGUGUCUGAUACAUGGGAGAGGCAGGCAGUCUGCCACUGCCAGUCUGUCUGCCUCAUAUUUGUACUAAGGACAUUUUUGUGCUUGAAAACUGACCUGAGCAUGUAUGGUUGGGUUCACUUACUAACGAGGGAGGUCUAGGAAAUAAAGGAGAUGGCUAGACACGUUGGAGGUCCAGGCUCCCUUGAAAUGACAAAGCCAACUUGGUUCAUGGUAACUCCUAUCAUUUGUUUUAGCCAUGUUAUUGAUGCAAGCUAGAGACUAGUGAGGCUGUCAAGUCUUGCUAGUUGAAUGAAUGUGCUGCCAGCCCCAGGAUAUCACAGAUCUGCUGGGGUCAGGAUACUCUCCUGAAUUCCCUGAGAGACCAGCAGCCCCCAAAACAGCCUAUUUAGAAUGAGUGAUUUGUUGAGUGAGUCAUACAAAUGAAAAUAUCCAUUUGGACCACAACUGACCGCUCUUGCUUUUUGAGCUCUUUAGUAAUUCAUAAACCCAAUCCCAGUGAAUAAUAAAAUGACUUGCAGCUGAAGGCUUGCUCACAUUGUGCUGAAACAACUUGGAUGCACAAGUAAAUAAAUCCUCUUUCAAAGCCCAUUAAAGUUUCUAGAAAACAUUCACUGCCUCAGCUCAGUCCCUGCAGCCAAUAAGCUUCAGGGAGUUCAAUAUUUAGAGGAACAUUAAAUCUUUCAGGUUAUUGGGAGGCAAUUUAACAGGUAACACCCUAACUGGUGGGCAGUGUCCAUAGAUAUGAACAUGGAAACAUUGUUUUUAAAAGAUUCUAUUUAUUUAUUUGAGAGAGAGUAAGAGAGAGCAUGAAAGGGGAGAGGAAGAAGUAGACUCCCUGCUGAGCUGGGAGCCCGAUGUGGGACUCAGUCCUGGGAUGCCAGGAUCUUGACCUGAGCCGAAGGCAGUUGCUUAACCAACUGGGCCACCCAGAUGCUCAACAUGGAAACAUUUUUGCAUGUAGGCAGGGCUCAAUAAACACAAAUAAAUGAUCUGUGGUUAUAGUGCUGGGCAGUACACCGACAUCUAUUUAUUUAUUAUUUUUUAAAAUUGUUAUUUUUUUUUCUUUUAAGAUUUUAUUUAUUUAUUUGACAGAGAGAGAUCACAAGUAGGCAAAGAGGCAGGCAGAGAGAAAAGGGGAAGCAGGCUCCCCGCCAAGCCAAGAGCCCAAUAUGGGGCUCGAGCCCAGGACCCUGAGAUCAUGACCUGAGCCGAAGGCAGAGGCUUAACCCACUGAGCCACCCAGGUGCCCCUAAAAUUAUUUUUAAAGAUUUUGUUUAAUUAUUUGUCAGUGAGAGAGAGAGAGAGAGCACAAGCAGCCAGAAAGGCAGGCCAAGAGAGACUGCAUCUCCCCCUAAGCAGAGAGCCCGAUGUGGGACUUGAUCCCAAGAUCUCAGGAUCAUGAUCUGAAGGCAGACGUGUAACUGACUGAGCCACCCAGGCAUCCCCACCAAC